UUAAUCACCAUCAAAUUACGGUAAUUUAAUGUUUAAUUUUGCCCGUUAACUGUAUUUUUACGUGCAUUUUUAUUUCCAAACAUCAAGGUCAAAAUGUUUCAGAAAGAUUUCACCUUCAGGCGAGGCUGGAUUACCAAAACUCUGUCCUAAGUUUUUAAUCAAGUUUGUGAUGGAAAGCUGAUUUCAUUUUCUCUCUGAUAACUUCCACGUGAAGGAUGCUGCUGCACAAAAUGCUUUCUCAGGCUAAACUUUCUUUCUCCGGUGGAAGUUUUCACUUAAAAUCAACUGUUAAAAUCUAAUUUAUUGUUGAUGUGUCAUGCACAAUCUAUGAAGAAUUAAGUUUAUGUUAACUAAAAGACGAAUGAAUAUUUAGAUGAAUAUUUACUUGGUUUUAAAUGGAGCAACCUGAUGUUUUCCGCUCAAUCGUCAUUAAAUUACAGUAAUUUAAUGUUUUAUUUUGCUUGUUAACUGUAUUUUUACGUGUGCUUUUAUUUCCAUACAUUAAGGUCAAAAUGUUUCACCAGAGUCUUCAGGAAUCCCCCCAAAAUGUCCCUGUUUAUUUAAGUUUUUAAUUAAGUUUGUGGUGAUUUAAUCUAAACUGAAAUGACGAAGGCGACACCUUCGUAAUCCAGCUCUUCUUGUCGAGGUGGUAGGUAAAUCCAGCCCUGCUGCCACAAAUGAAUCAAUGUUGAAUAUGCAAAAUACUGUAACCUCCGGACGCUGGUCAAUAACUACAGUUUGACUUUUGAUUUUUUGUUUCUCGUGCAUGUUUCAGAUCCACUGAAAAACUUUUUUUCACACGUCGUGUCUCGCUUGCCGGACAGAAAGCCGAGUCAUGCCCGCCUUUUGAUUCUGUCUGUCAAAGCAACACGAGCACCGGUCGGACUGGUUUCUGUCUCGGUCUGUGUCGUGUUGGUUUAACAAACCUGACAAUCCUCCACAGAGGAUCGUGUGUGACUCUGUGUAUAUUUUACUAAUCAUAUUUAAAGACUGAUCCACAGGUCAGAGCCGAGCCUUAUGCCGACGUGACAGCUCGACAUGACUGACGGCCUAAUGCGCUUUAAUGAACGUCACGACCCUGUUACAGUAAACACAGCUCAAUUCAUCUCUUCGUGCUGUGCACGCCCGCUCCGGUAGGCAGGACUGUAAAAGUCAAAGCCGCAGAGCCGAGACAAACAGUGGCAGCUUGACUGGUCAAACAAGGUUCUCACAGAGAAGUUUCCACUCCGUGUACUUCCUCUUUGUGACAGUCACUCGUCAUUGUGGCGGUGGAUUGGUAAAUAUUUAGGGAGUGCUGAUCUGCUCCCGUGCUAAAUAUAAAGAGUAAACAUGUUUCCUGGGGUAAAGCUUUGAAUACAACUGAUAAAAGAUGCAACACGCUGAUGUGAAUCACUUGGCUCGAACACAGAUCAUUUGGGGAGGUUGGGUGGGCGGAGAUAGGGUUGCAAUUAAUUACAGCAGGCUUAUCGGGCGUGUAAACACGAGCUCAGCCGUGGCUGAUUAUGAAAUAUAUGUGCAUAAAUCUGUUGCACUGCUUCCAGACAAUGAAGCCGGCGUGUCGCAUUAGUGACGUCAAAAAAAAGGUGCAAAACAAGUCCGGCGAAAGAAUGAAGACGAAAUGUCUUCAGGCCAACGAGCGGCUCAACCUGUUGUUGUUGUUGUUGUUGGAUACCGGUCCUUCCACUAAGUCUUGAGUUAUUUAAGAAAUGUAAGGAGUGUUGAGGGUGAACCAGAAAACUCGCUCGCACUCCACAUCAGACCUUCGAACUGCAACCACCUAAUCCACGUAAAGAGGCCUUCGGCCAUGGAGGAUGGAAAGUGCACCACCCUCUUCUUUGCUCUGGCUUUGAUUUUUGACAUCGUCGGCCUCAUCCUGUUCUUCGUCGGGAUCUUCGCACCCUUCAGUUUCUGGGACUUUCUCGUCCUGUCCGGACCUCUGCUGGCCUUCCUCAGCCUGUUCUUCUGGAUAUGCUGGUACUUGGGGAGCCUCACAGUGUCCGACGAGGAGCUCGACCUGGUGAAUUCGGACAUACCGUGAAGGCGAAGGUGGAUGAAAUCAACCGGAGGGUCGGACUGAAGCAGGUGCUUCAUCGGGAGUCAUGAAUUUGGGAGAUUCGUGGCUCUCUCUCUUUGAGGUUUUGCCUCAAGUGAAGCACCCAGACUCGACCAGGAACUCAUCCCAGGAUUAAAUGAACUCCGUUCCAUCCGUCGUUUGACGUCAGGGUGAAACAUGUCGCGUUGCCCGUGGACAGCAGAGAUUUGGACUUUAUCGGAGUGUAAACUGUAUUUCCCAGCACUUUCAGCCCUUUGCAUGACCUGUAUUUAUGUCACUACCAUCACCUGUGCACAUUCGUCGUGACGGUGCAUGUCUCCCUCCAGUGGACGAGUCGAGCUGAAAGUUUGAAGUUCUGUCCGGCUGUUUCUCGACUUCAAGAAGGAAAAUAAAAUAAAUAAAUAAUUAAA